rnacentral:tRNA from 1 species
GUCGGAGUGGCGGAAUGGCAGACGCGCUAGCUUGAGGUGCUAGUGGGAGAUUAUCCCGUGGGGGUUCAAGUCCCCCCUCCGACA